AAACCAACAGGGAUUGCUCUAGUAACGGCGAGUGAAGCAGCAAUAGCUCAAAUUUGAAAUCUGGCGUCUUCGACGUCCGAGUUGUAAUUUGUAGAAGAUGCUUCUGAGUAACCACCGACCUAAGUUCCUUGGAACAGGACGUCAUAGAGGGUGAGAAUCCCGUAUGCGGUCGGAAAGGUGCUCUAUACGUAGCUCCUUCGACGAGUCGAGUUGUUUGGGAAUGCAGCUCUAAAUGGGAGGUAAAUUUCUUCUAAAGCUAAAUAUUGGCCAGAGACCGAUAGCGCACAAGUAGAGUGAUCGAAAGAUGAAAAGCACUUUGGAAAGAGAGUUAAAAAGCACGUGAAAUUGUUAAAAGGGAAGGGAUUGCAACCAGACUUGCUCGCGGUGUUCCGCCGGUCUUCUGACCGGUCUACUCGCCGCGUUGCAGGCCAGCAUCGUCUGGUGCCGCUGGAUAAGACUUGAGGAAUGUAGCUCCUUCGGGAGUGUUAUAGCCUCUUGUGAUGCAGCGAGCGCCGGGCGAGGUCCGCGCUUCGGCUAGGAUGCUGGCGUAAUGGUCGUAAUCCGC
rnacentral:rRNA from 1 species